GAAUAUUGGACAAUGGGGGGAACCCUGCUCCAGCCAUGCCGCGUGUGUGAAGAAGGCCUUUUGGUUGUAAAGCACUUUAAGCGAGGAGGAGGCUACUCUAGUUAAGACCUAGAGAUAGUGGACGUUACUCGCAGAAUACGCACCGGCCAACGCUGUCCCAGCAGCCGCGGUCAUACAGAGGGUGCAAGAGUUAAUCGGAUUUACUGGGCGUAAAGCGCGCGUAGGUGGCCAAUUAAGUCAAAUGUGAAAUCCCCGAGCUUAACUUGGGAAUUGCAUUCGAUACUGGUUGGCUAGAGUAUGGGAGAGGAUGGUAGAAUUCCAGGUGUAGCGGUGAAAUGCGUAGAGAUCUGGAGGAAUACCGAUGGCGAAGGCAGCCAUCUGGCCUAAUACUGACACUGAGGUGCGAAAGCAUGGGGAGCAAACAG
rnacentral:rRNA from 1 species